rnacentral:rRNA from 1 species
GACGAACGCUGGCGGCGUGCUUAACACAUGCAAGUUGAACGGUAAGGCCCUUCGGGGUACGACGAGUGGCGAACGGGUGAGUAACACGUGAACAACCUGCCCUUGACUCUGGGAUAACAGUUGGAAACAGCUGCUAAUACCGGAUACGAGCCUGCAAGACAUCUUGCGGGCUUGAAAGCUCCGGCGGUCAAGGAUGGAUUCGCGGCCUAUCAGCUUGUUGGUGAGGUAACGGCUCACCAAGGCUUCGACGGGUAGCCGGCCUGAGAGGGCGACCGGCCACACUGGGACUGAGAUACGGCCCAGACUCCUACGGGAGGCAGCAGUGGGGAAUAUUGGACAAUGGGCGAAAGCCUGAUCCAGCCAUGCCGCGUGUGUGAAGAAGGUCUUCGGAUUGUAAAGCACUUUAAGUUGGGAGGAAGGGCAGUAAGUUAAUACCUUGCUGUUUGACGUUACCAACAGAAUAAGCACCGGCUAACUUCGUGCCAGCCGCCGCCGUAAU